rnacentral:rRNA from 1 species
AGAAUCAACGCUGGCGGCGUGCCUAACACAUGCAAGUCGCACGAGAAAGGGGCUUCGGCCCUGAGUAAAGUGGCGCACGGGUGAGUAACACGUGAAUGAUCUACCUCCGAGUGGGGAAUGACUGAAGAAAAUCUUAGCUAAUACCGCAUAACACUUACGAGUCAAAGCAGCAAUGCGCUUGGAGAGGAGUUCGCGGCAGAUUAGUUAGUUGGCGGGGUAAUGGCCCACAAGACGAUGAUCUGUA